UAAAUUAUGUAUGUUGUCAAA
rnacentral:piRNA from 1 species